UACGGAGGAUCCGAGCGUUAUCCGGAUUUAUUGGGUUUAAAGGGUGCGUAGGUGGCCUGUUAAGUCAGGGGUGAAAGACGGUAGCUCAACUAUCGCAGUGCCCUUGAUACUGAUGGGCUUGAAUGAACUAGAGGUAGGCGGAAUGUGACAAGUAGCGGUGAAAUGCACAGAUAUGUCACAGAACACCAAUUGCGAAGGCAGCUUACUAUGGUUUUAUUGACACUGAGGCACGAAAGCGUGGGGAUCAAACAGG
rnacentral:rRNA from 1 species